GGGUUGCAUAGGGUGGAGCCUCCUGUAUCGCUGGUACUGCGUGAAGAUGGGGUAAUCGGUCCUGUUGUACCACUGCGGGGGACACACAGGGCAGUGAAGGCAACUGGUUCAAAUGAGACGCACGUCACAGAAUCGUCAACAAUGUGAUGUGAACGUCACCUGAGUGAGGUCAGCGGAGAAAGGGGCGGGGUCCCAGGCCACCAGAGCACCUGAGCUGUACAGAGAACUGGACAGGAAACGAUGGUCAUCAGACGCCAUCACCUGACAGUAAAGAUCUGGACUCAACUGAUCUGGAGAGAGAAGAUACAGGAAAAUCAGAAGAGAGGACAGGAGGGCAGAGAAGGAGGAUGGCCAUAAAAAACAUUUCAUACCUCCAUAUGGGACUGUGCUGCACAGCAAACCAUGCAGUAAGACAGUAAGAUCUAAACUACUGCAAGUAAUGAGUAUGUAGACGCUAAAUAACAUAUUUACAGGAGGGCCAUCACCAGAGACCACACAGGUCACCACAGGAUCACCACAGACACAUGAUGGUAACAGAC